ACGUACUUCUUUAUAAUUCCAUA
rnacentral:miRNA from 1 species